UGCUGCACCGCACUGACCAGAGACAUCCAGCCAUCAGACAGCACCCUGACCACCUGCAACAAUGAGUGACAAACCAGACAUCUCAGAGGUCACCAAGUUUGACAAAACCAAGCUGAAGAAGACGGAGACGCAGGAGAAGAACCCCCUGCCUACAAAAGAAACCAUCGAGCAGGAGAAGGCGGAUUCGUGAAGCCCCUCCCUCCCAUCAUGCACUGUACAUCCCCUCCUCCUCCCGCAUUGCCUUGUUUUCAGUCACUUCUUUUAGCUGUAUAACUUUGUAACCGAAAUUAUGAAACGACAACAAUAACCGAGCUGCGCAGCCCGUGGACAGAUGAAGCCUUUGCUGGGGCUGUCGGCCCCGCCCCCUUAACGACUCCCUGUACCACCUACACGCUCGUCUUUCCGAGACGAUGAGGAAGAUUCGUCCGAGGCGGAGGAGGGGGGGCUGCAGGAGGUGCACCUUAACACCUGGCAUCACCUACAUGGAGCGGAGAGGCCUGAGGGACGGGGCGUGGCCCGCAUCCUAGGAAGCUUGUCCUCGUCUCACCAUCACCCAACUUCUCGUGUGGCUGCUUUUUGCGCCGAAGCUAAGGCGUCAAGCUUUUUAUUCGUUGUUUUUAUUGUUUAUCGUCUUCUAAUUUUCGGGAAAUGCACAACUUUGUUUGUACGCUGGCCAAAAUGUAAAUGCCCCAAAAAAUUGAUACUGUCGUCUAUCACAAUGUUUUUUCUUUUGUAUGUACACGGCGAUGAAAAUUAAGAGUAACAGAUUCCAUCUUGAUGUGGGAGAUUCUCAAAUGGACCUUAUUUACGGUUAAUUUUGUCAAGAGUGAUUCGAGAUAGCUUUUGUUUCGCAAUCUGUCUCUGAAUUGUCUCAAAAGAGGAAAAACAAAAUAUAUAAAUCGUAAACUGAUUCCAUGUGUUUGCUUUUCGACCGUAGAUCAAAGUUCUUUGGAGUUCCAGCAGUCAUGUAACUCUGCCACAAAACAUUACCAGAAAUGGAAAACCGUGAAAUGUUGUAAUAAAAAAGAUUUGUUACUAAAAACUGAA